UACGUAGGGUGCAAGCGUUGUCCGGAAUUAUUGGGCGUAAAGAGCUCGUAGGCGGUUUGUCGCGUCGAAUGUGAAAACCCGGGGCUCAACUCCGGGCCUGCAUUCGAUACGGGCAGACUAGAGUUCGGUAGGGGAGUCUGGAAUUCCUGGUGUAGCGGUGAAAUGCGCAGAUAUCAGGAGGAACACCGGUGGCGAAGCGGGACUCUGGGCCGAUACUGACGCUGAGGAGCGAAAGCGUGGGGAGCAAACAGG
rnacentral:rRNA from 1 species